UGGGAUUACAGGCGCUCGCCACCACACCCAUCUAAUUUUUGCAUUUUUUAGUAGAGACAGGGUUUCGCCAUGUUGGCUAGGUCUGUCUCAAGCUCCUGACCUCAUGUGAUCCGCCCGCCUCGGCCUCCCAGAAUGCUGGGAUUACAGGCAUGAGCCACCGCGCCCAUCCCUGAUUUUUUUUUUUUUUUUUUUUUUUUUUUAAGAAAUAAAGCAACUUCUCCCAGGCCAUGUGGAAAAGCCAUGUGUGAACCAGAGGAACAAGUACAACAGAGCCGCUGAGUACACCCCAACACAGAGGAGCCAGCGCUCACCGAGAGAUUUGCCAAGUGGAGUCCUUUUGAGACAUCCAAAUUUCACUGUCUUCAACUUAUUAAUGUGAAACAAAGAAUAACGUAUAUGUGUGUGUAAACACGAAUAGUAACAGCUUAUAUUUGUAAACAAUGUGCCGUGCGCCCAGCACUACAUUAAGCAGUCUCCAUGCAGCACCUCCAUUAAUCCUGGGGAGCACUGUACCCACUUCAAGAGGCCUUUAGAAGAGCAAGUAACAAAAACUGGUGGAAAAAAAGCACACAUUCAACAGGAAGCAACAUCUAGAGACCUUUCUGCCUUCCAGGAUACAAAAAGAAAACAGUUCAUAAACAACUUACAUCUAAACCAGUAAUGUUGUCUCCCUGGCUCAUAGGAGCUGAAGAAGAAUUCCAGUUACUGUAGUAAGAAUAUAAGGAUGUGGACUGGUUUGAGGAUGCUUGAGGCAUGACUAUAGCAAGUACUGCGCAUACAUAUGUGGACAUCGUAAGACACACUCUCUGCUUCCCCAGGCGAAAUCUGUAAUGCUUUGUUUAUUCAUGUUCUAUUCUGCGUUUCCAUGGCACUUUGUUCUUUGUGGUUUUUAGGGUAUCUUUCUCCCUCUCUGCUCAGUGAACUGAGCUGCCUGGACAGGCCUUGAGUUUUCUUAUUCGAUUGUUUUUUGUGUGUGUAUGUUUUGCCUUAGCUCCCUCACUAGUAUAGUCAAGGAGCUUUUCAUGCUUUGAGCCAUUUGUGGCAUUUCAGGAAUUACCUUCAUAGCUUUUGUCCAUUUUCUACUGGCUUGUCUUUUUCAAUGUUUUUAUAGGCAUUUUUUAAAAAACACAGUGUGGAUGUCAUUUGGGAUAGCAGUACUAAUAGUAGCUAAAACUUACUGAAAGCUACUGUGUGCCAGGCAGUCUGCUGAGCACUUUACAUGCUGCCUUUCAUUUUUACACUCAUUUAGGAAACUGAGUCACAGAGAGGCGAGAUAACUUGCCAGAGAUUCAAGCACACUCCAGACACAUCCCUACACCAAUCAGACCUCCUAGCCACCCAGAAACUCUCCUCUGCUCGGAGGCUUCUCUGCUUCCUCCACCUGCCCCUUCGCCUCACUGCCUCCUUUCAAAAUCUGCGGCAUGUAUUUUAGGGAUACUCGUAUCCAUUUUCAGGAAUUCCAUGAUCUACACACAGAUGACACCAAAAUCGGAACAGCAAUGUCCACCCUUCUCCCGAGCCCUAGGAUUAGAUGUGUCGGUCCAUAGACGUUGCUGGCCACAUAGUUAAGUGGUGCGUUCACUCACUGGGCAUUGAUGGAGCGCCUACUACGUGCCAGGCCUGUUUUACGCGCCGGGGGCCCAGAGGCGCCCAGCCGGACUGCCUUCCCUGUUGUUAGUUUGUAACUUUCGCUCCGGCCCCCGCAGCCUCGCGCCUGCCUUCCCUCCACUGUCCUCAGCCAAGGUGUAGUAAAGCGUCUCCGAACGCGGCGCGACCCUCGCCCACGCCCGCUCGCGGGGGGACCGCACCGCCCCAGGGGUCCUCGCUAGGGGUUCCCGGAGAAGGGGUGGGAGAUGGGGGUGCGGGGGGGCACAGGAGCGCGGGCCAGCACCCAGACCUGCUCGGUACCGGGGACCCAGACCCGAGGAUGCCGGGCGGCCAAGGCCCCGCUACCCUGGCCGGCUCCGGGCGGAGGAAGAAGAGGAGGCGCCCAGACUGGAUACCCGCCUGGACCCGGAGCCGCGGCACCACCCCCAGCCCGCCCCACGCUCGCCAGCCUCAGACGGCCGCGCCCCG
rnacentral:lncRNA from 1 species